rnacentral:lncRNA from 1 species
AUGGCAAUGAUGCAAAAGGAGCCAUUAAGCCCUGUCUUACAUGUGGGUGCACUUUUGGUCUCAGGUCAGUCCUAUGACAUGAAUUCUGCUGUAGCAUGGAGGUGGACAGACCCUUCUUCUCAUGACUGCAUUUGCUCUCCAGCUCUUCAACACAACAAGGAAUUCAACCCACUUCUGGAAGAAAUCAGUGGGCCUUCGUGGCAGAUGUAUGAAAUUCCAAGGAUGAAAAAUGCUUUCGGAAGCUGUGAAAGUGUAUCUGCUAUGCAGCAAGUGAUCUCAUAUAUCCAAUAUACUUUUAUGUUACGAAUUUCCUACAGAGGUAAGGCAUGGGCAUGCAAAUAUCCUGAGAUGGAUGAGGGAGAGGAACCAUGGUGUCUCUCACUCUGGAUGAUGAGAUGAUUCACUAGAUGAUUCACUCGUUCCUUCUUAUCUUUUGUGAAACUAUCCCUGAUGGUUUUUUGUUUCUUUCUUUCUUUCUUUUCUUGCAAGCACUCAAGCCAAAACAUGUAGUUGCCAUGCAGAUAUGAGAUGUCACCAGAUUUGUUUUGACUUAUGUACUUUCUUUAGUUCAGUUGACAUAACCAAACUGCUAAAUAAAUGACUUCUGGAACUAACCA